GAUAAUGAGCUUCAAUAUUACAACUUUAAUCGGAUACAAAUAAAUCCCACGCUGCACCAGUAACAUCUGUAGUCAUCCAGGUUGAAAAUAACUGGAUACAAUAUAUUAUUGUCUGUGGCCUUCCUGCUUCAUGCUUCUUUCCAGCAAUGCAGGGCUGCCUAAAUGGCAGGAAACCCAGACAGGCUCUGCUGCGUGAGCCCAGCCACUUCCAGCUGGUCUGAAAGCUUUGCUUGGUGAACAAUCACCGGCAGGCUGGGAAAAAAAGCCUCUCUUUGAGGAGGAAAGCUGUUUGCUCUGUGCAGUUUUGGUUCCCUGUUUUGACAUGACCUCAUUUUUAACCUUGGACACGGCAAGCAGCAUGACUUGGGAAAAAAAGCAAGACUUUAUUGCGUGUAAGCGCAGUGCACAAACACACCUCCCUGCUGCCCAGCUGCUGAAGUUACCAAGAUUCAGGUCCUCCUCUUAGGGCAAGGAAGGGUGUCCGAGUGCAGCACCUGCAGCUCCCGGCUGGCCGGGGAAGGUGAAAGAGAAACCAAGGCACGCGGCAGGAGCCGCCACUGCCCACGUCAGCACGGCAGGCGCUGGGCUGGGCUGUGACCGUCAGCAGGGCAGCGCAGCCACUCCUUUCGGCAAGUUCGGCAUUCAGCCUGCAGAGGAACUACUCGUCCUUGCUGCUGAACCUCAGUGGAGAAGCUCGGUGCCGCGGUACAUCUCUACCAGCAGUCCCCCAGUGUAAACACCGAGUGAUUCCGAAACCCGUGGGCUCGUCCCAGGGUUAGAAGGCAGCCCCAGAAGGCUGCAGAAACACCGUGGCUGUUGCAGGUGCCAUCAGCCCAGCAAAUGCAAGAGGAGCCCCCGGCGCCCGAGGAGGAGCCACUGAAAGCCGAGGGAGAGCAGAGCAUGCAGCACUGUACACAUUUGCAUAGUAUGUUUUACCCAGCAUGCCUCGUCGAAUGCUACACAGACAGUAUCUAUAGAGGAAAUACUUGUAAGGCAAGUGAUCUGUGGUAUGUGACGUUUACAGACAAGGCAGUCAAACGCGGUGUCAGCAGCAGGACCCAGUCCAGACAGUCCCGCACUGCCAAGACGUCUGAGGGGAAAAGAAACCACCAGCAACGCUCUGCGAAUGGGCACUGGCAGCUGCCCUGCUGGAGGCACCGAGCGCCCUCCGCCCCAUGCCUGCUGGCGUGCCUGGGUCGCUCAGAGCCAGCCAGAAAGACGCGGUGCCAGAAGCGGGCUCGGCAAUGAGAAGUGGUGUGCCUAGCGAGACACGGGGCGUGCUUCACGAACUCCUCUUGCUUAGCAAGUACAGAAUAUGGGGCACCACCUCAUUUCCAUGGUAAGACGAUAUUUCAGAGGAAAAUCUAGGCAUAGGGCCACGCUGCACUAGCGGUGCUUGACUGAUUUUUACCAGCCCACCACGUUUAGAAAAUGAUCACAGAAUUUGGCCUACUAUUUAUAAACUAAAAUGUGACGUAGAACGGCUUUAAUUGUCUUCCCUUUUAAACAGCAAUUUCAUAAUAUACUCACUGAGAAAACACCGUCAGUUGUGAGGUGCACAUCCCAUAGGAUAACUGCUCGGCCAUGUAGCUAAGUAUAAGAACCUGUACAUCUGUUAAAUACAACUUGCCAAAAAGGAAAUACUUUGAAUUAAGAAUUUAACAGUGAAUGGUCUUUAAAGGGGCUACAAGAUUUUUGAAAUACUUUGCUAAUCCAUUCACAAGCACAUGAAUGCACUGACAUAUAUUGUCUUUAGACCUUAAUACUGCCGUAUCACUUUUAUUGGGCAAACUAUCAGCAAUCCAAAAGUGUCCUAACAAAAAAAAAAAAA